GCGGACGGCCGGACGACCGCGGCAUGCGAGUGUCGAGGAAAGUCCGGGCUCCAGGGAGAAAUGGCGGCGGGUAACGCCCGCCCGGGGUAACCCGAGGGAAAGCGCCACAGAGAGGAGACCGCCGUCCCGGCGGCUCACGGACCGCGAGGUCCAUGGGAUGGCAUGGGACGGCAAGGGUGAAAGGGUGGGGUAAGAGCCCACCGCGCUGGCGGCAACGUCGGCGGCAUGGCAAGCCCCGCCAGGAGCAAGGCCAAAUAGGGAUCGCGCGGGGCUUGUCCCCAGGGCUUCUCCCGCCCGAGCGAUCCGGGUUGGCUGCUGGAAUCCGUCGGCAACGGCGGAUCGAGAGGAAUGGUCGUCGGCGGUUUUUUGCCGCCACAGGACCCGGCUUACAGGCCGUCCGCACCC
rnacentral:RNase_P_RNA from 1 species